AAAAGGCAGACACUUCGGUAGACGCCUGAGUAAAGCGGCGGACGGGUGAGUAACACGUAGGUGACCUACCCUGGAGAGGGGGACAACCGUUGGAAACGGCGGCUAAUACCCCAUAAGCUUCCGCGCGUCAGAGGGCGCGGGAGAAAAGGUUAAGGCGCUCCAGGAGGGGCCUGCGGCCCAUCAGCUAGUUGGUAGGGUAACGGCCUACCAAGGCGAAGACGGGUAGGGGGCCUGAGAGGGUGACCCCCCACACGGGAACUGAGACACGGUCCCG
rnacentral:rRNA from 1 species